rnacentral:rRNA from 1 species
CUACGGGUGGCUCCAGUGGGGAAUAUUGGACAAUGGGGGCAACCCUGAUCCAGCCAUGCCGCGUGUGUGAAGAAGGCCUUUUGGUUGUAAAGCACUUUAAGCAGUGAAGAAGACCUAACGGUUAAUACCCGUUAGCGAUGACAUUAGCUGCAGAAUAAGCACCGGCUAACUCUGUGCCAGCAGCCGCGGUAAUACAGAGGGUGCAAGCGUUAAUCGGAAUUACUGGGCGUAAAGCGAGCGUAGGUGGCUUGAUAAGUCAGAUGUGAAAUCCCCGGGCUUAACCUGGGAACUGCAUCUGAUACUGUUAAGCUAGAGUAGGUGAGAGGGAAGUAGAAUUCCAGGUGUAGCGGUGAAAUGCGUAGAGAUCUGGAGGAAUACCGAUGGCGAAGGCAGCUUCCUGGCAUCAUACUGACACUGAGGCUCGAAAGCGUGGGUAGCAAACAGGAUUAGAUACCCGUGUAGUC